CAACUACUCCCUCUGUCCCAAAUUUCUUGUCUUAGAUUUGUCUACAUACGAAUGUAUCUAAUACUAAAAUGUGACUUGAUACAUCUGUAUCUAGACAAAUCUAAGACAUGAAUUUUGGGACGGAGGGAGUACUUU
rnacentral:pre_miRNA from 1 species